GACGAACGCUGGCGGCGUGCUUAACACAUGCAAGUCGAACGGAAAGGCCCUGCUUUUGUGGGUUGCUCGAGUGGCGAACGGGUGAGUAACACGUGAGUAAAAUGCACUUGAAUUUGGGAUAACUUCAGGAGACUGGGGCUCAUACCGGAUAGGAGCUCCUGAUGCAUGGUGGGGGUUGGAAAGUUUCGGCGGUUGGGGAUGGACUCGCGGCUUAUCAGCUUGUUGGUGGGGUAGUGGCUUACCAAGGCUUUGAAGGGUAGCCUGCCUGAGAGGGUGACCGGCCACCUUGGUACUGAGAUACGGCCCAGACUCCUACGGGAGGCAGCAGUGGGGAAUAUUGCACAAUGGGCGGAAGCCAGAUGCAGCAACGCCGCGUGCGUGAUGACGUCCUACGGGUUGUAAACCGCUUUCGCCUGUGACGAAGCGUGAGUGACGGUAAUGGGUAAAGAAGCACCGGCUAACUACGUG
rnacentral:rRNA from 1 species